rnacentral:SRP_RNA from 1 species
GCCUAGCAACGUGGGCCUGUGACCCAAGUGGGGGGAUGUGGGAAAUGGGACUCUGGCGCAGCCGGUUGGCAUCGGGUCCAGUGUUAGCUGCUUCCUGGCCUGCCCAUUCCAAGCCGAGACUUGGGCUGUCUGAGCCGGACGAAGGUCUGGCUUGCUCAGCUCCUAAAGCGGAGGGCAAUGCCGUGAGGCUGGCUUCACAGAGCAGCGACCACCUCCCGGUCCCGGCAGUGGCAAGGAUAACGGGCCGUGCUACUUGGGUCCACCAUGUUCACUGGUGGACUCUAAAUAGGACCAUUUCUUUU